rnacentral:rRNA from 1 species
AACAAACGCUGGCGGCGUGCCUAAUACAUGCAAGUCGAACGGGGUAGCAAUACCUAGUGGCGCACGGGUGAGGAACGCGUGGAUAAUCUGCCUUAGAGUGGGGGAUAACUAGUCGAAAGAUUAGCUAAUACCGCAUAAGACCACAGGAGCUGCGGCUCUAGGGGUCAAAGGUUUUUCGCUCUAAGAUGAGUCCGCGUAAGAUUAGCUAGUUGGUGAGGUAACGGCUCACCAAGGCGACGAUCUUUAACUGGUCUGAGAGGAUGAUCAGUCACACUGGAAAUGAGACACAGUCCAGACUGCUACGGGAGGAAGCAGUAGGGAAUAUUGCACAAUGGAGGAAACUCUGAUGCAGCGACGCCGCGUGUGUGAUGAAGGCCUUCGGGUCGUAAAGCUCUGUCGCAGGGGAAUAACACAAUGAAUGUACCCUGUAAGAAAGGAUCGGCUAACUUCGUGCCAGCCGCCGCGGUAAGAC